rnacentral:rRNA from 1 species
AGAGCGUAUGGUGGAUGCCUUGGCACUAAGAGCCGAUGAAAGACGUGAUAAGCUGCGAAAAGCUUCGGGGAGGAGCAAAUAUCCUUUGAUCCGGAGAUUUCUGAAUGGGGAAACCUACUUGAGCAAACCUCAAGUAUCCUUAAGCCAAUACAUAACUUAAGGAAGGGAACCCGGUGAACUGAAACAUCUAAGUAGCCGGAGGAAGAGAAAACAACAUGUGAUUCUGUGAGUAGCGGCGAGCGAAAACGGAAGAGCCCAAACCAGCGUGCGUGCAUGCUGGGGUUCGGACCGCGGAAUUGAUUCAACGAGUUUAGCAGAACGGUUUUGGGAAAGCCGGCCAGAGAGGGUGAAAGCCCCGUAAGCGAAAGACGAGUUGACAUGGCGGGAUCCAGAGUACCACGAGACACGUGGAACCUUGUGGGAAAUCAGGGGGACCACCCCCUAAGGCUAAAUACUACUUAGUGACCGAUAGCGCAUAGUACUGUGAAGGAAAGGUGAAAAGGACCCCGGGAGGGGAGUGAAAGAGAACCUGAAACCCUGUGUCUACAAGCUGUGGAAGCACUUUAUAUGUGCGACCGCGUACUUUUUGUAGAACGGUCCGGCGAGUUACGCUUACUGGCAAGGUUAAGCACUUCAGGUGCGGAGCCGUAGGGAAACCAAGUCUUAAGAGGGCCUUAAGUCAGUAGGAGUAGACCCGAAACCGGGUGAUCUAUCCAUGUCCAGGUUGAAGCUGCCGUAAGAGGUAGUGGAGGACCGAACCCACAUCCGUUGAAAAGGGUGGGGAUGAGGUGUGGAUAGGGGAGAAAUUCCAAUCGAACCCGGAGAUAGCUGGUUCUCCUCGAAAUAGCUUUAGGGCUAGCCUCGAUACAGAUUUGCGGAGGUAGAGCACUGAAUUUCCUAGGGGGCGUCAAAGCCUACCGAAGAAUAUCAAACUCCGAAUGCCGCGUAAUCGAUUAUCGGGAGUCAGACUGCACGAGAUAAGUUGGGCGGUCAAAAGGGAAAGAGCCCAGACCUUCAGUUAAGGUCCCCAAGUGCGCGUUAAGUGGAAAAGGAUGUGGGAUUUCGAAGACAACCAGGAUGUUGGCUCAGAAGCAGCCAUCCAUUCAAAGAGUGCGUAAUAGCUCACUGGUCGAGAGGUCCUGCGCCGAAAAUGUCCGGGGCUGAAACGCGCCACCGAAACUAAGGAACCGAAAGGUUGGUAGAGGAGCAUUGCAUGCGGGAAGAAGCAGUACCGUAAGGAGCUGUGGACUGCAUGGAAGAGAGAAUGCCGGAAUGAGUAGCGAGAAUAAGGUGAGAAUCCUUAUGGCCGAAUAUCCAAGGUUUCCAGAGUAAAGCUGAUCUGCUCUGGGUAAGUCGGGGCCUAAGGCGAGGACGAGAGUCGUAGCCGAUGGACAACAGGUGGAGAUUCCUGUACUGCGGUAUGACAGAACUGUGGGGACACGUAAGGAAAGCGGAAGCCGGGAAUGGAAAGCCCGGUGCAAGCGGGGUACCAGUCACUUUGGCAAAUCCGGGUGGCAAUGGGAAGCCGUGAUGCGGAGCGAAAUAAAGUAGCGAAGUCCGUGAGCCAUGCGUCAAGAAAAGCCGCUAUUGUUUAUACCGUACCCGUACCGUAAACCGACACAGGUGGAUGAGGAGAGAAUCCUAAGGCCGGCGGAAGAAGCAUUGUCAAGGAACUCGGCAAAAUGGCCCCGUAACUUAGGGAGAAGGGGUGCCUGCGAGAGCAGGCCGCAGAGAAUAGGCUCAAGCAACUGUUUAGCAAAAACACAGGUCUAUGCGAAACCGAAAGGUGAGGUAUAUGGGCUGACGCCUGCCCGGUGCUGGAAGGUUAAGAGGAGAGGUUAGCGGUAACGCGAAGCUUUGAAUUUAAGCCCCAGUAAACGGCGGCCGUAACUAUAACGGUCCUAAGGUAGCGAAAUUCCUUGUCGGGUAAGUUCCGACCUGCACGAAAGGCGCAACGACUUGGGCGCUGUCUCGACCAUGGACCCGGUGAAAUUGCACUGGUCGUGAAGAUGCGACUUACCCGCGGAAGGACGGAAAGACCCCGUGAACCUUCACUGCAGCUUGGCAUUGGCCGCUGGUCCCGCGUGUAGAGGAUAGGCAGGAGGCACAGAUCCGGAGGCGCCAGCCCCCGGGGAGCCGCCCUUGGAAUACUGCCCUCGCGCGACCGGCGUCCUAACCCGAGGCCGUCAACCGGCUCGGGGACCGUGCCAGGCGGGCAGUUUGACUGGGGCGGUCGCCUCCUAAAGGGUAACGGAGGCGCGCGAAGGUCCGCUCGGGACGGUCGGCAACCGUCCUUUUGAAUGCAAGAGUACAAGCGGGCUUGACUGCGAGGCCCACAAGCCGAGCAGGUGCGAAAGCAGGCUCUAGUGAUCCGGCGGCCCCGAGUGGGUGGGCCGUCGCUCAACGGAUAAAAGGUACUCCGGGGAUAACAGGCUGAUCUUGCCCAAGAGUCCACAUCGACGGCAAGGUUUGGCACCUCGAUGUCGGCUCAUCGCAUCCUGGGGCUGUAGCAGGUCCCAAGGGUUGGGCUGUUCGCCCAUUAAAGCGGUACGCGAGCUGGGUUCAG